rnacentral:misc_RNA from 1 species
AAGUCGUAACAAGGUUUCCGUAGGUGAACCUGCGGAAGGAUCAUUAACACGUAUCCAACGUUAAACAACCCUGUGAACUUUAAGUCCCCUCUUGCAGCCCAUGAGGAACAGCAAUCCCGGUAAAUCAUUGCCAAACAGUUUUGAUUCGGGACCUCUGUCCAAAAGGAGUUGCAAUCGAAGGGUGGAAGCAGUGGCAUGGCUUCCCCAAGCAGUUAGUGAAUGACAGUGUCACUGACGGUCGAUCACCGACCGGCAGACAUGUCACAGGGUCACCACGCCCCUUAAUCACUCCACUUGAAAAUGCCCCGCCUAGUGGUAACGCGCUAGGUAAAAAAAACCGAACAACUGUUAACAAUGGAUAUCUUGGUUCUC